AUGAUGCAUAUUAACAUAAUGAGCACUUUCUUGGAUGAAUCACUACCAAAAGAUAUCGAGUUGGCUAUGACAGCAAAACGAUUCUUGAAGAGAUUCCAGUACACUUUGAAAGGGGUUGAUGCUCAAGAAUCACUGCCUUGGACAUGCUUCUUUGACAUCCUGGACCAGACCGAUUCCCUGUAUUAUUUUUUUUAUUGUUUUUAUUUUUAUUUAUUUAUUUUUGGGGGGUCUUUUUACCUUUUCUUUUUUGUUGUUGUUGUUUUUUGUUUGUUUGUUUGUUUGUUUUUUUGGUAUUUUUGCUAUUUCUUUGGGCCGCUCCCGCGGCAUAUGGAGGUUCCCAGGCUAGGGGUCGAAUCAGAGCUGCAGCCACCGGCCUAGGCCAGAGCCACAGCAACGUGGGAUCCGAGCCACGUCUGCAACCUACACCACAGCUCACGGCAACGCCGGAUCGUUAACCCACUGAGCAAGGGCAGGGACUGAACCGGCAACCUCAUGGUUCCUAGUCGGAUUCGUUAACCAUUGCGCCACGACGGGAACUCCCCCUUUUUACCUUUUCUAGGGCCGCUGCUGCAGCAUAUGGAGUUUCCCAGUCUAGGGGUCGAAUUGGAGCUGUAGCCGCUGGCCCACGCCAGAGCCACAGCAACACGGGAUCUGAGCUGCGUCUGUGACCUACACCACAGCUCAUGGCAAUGCUGGAUCCCCAACCCACUGAGAGAGGCCAGGGAUCGAACCCACAACCUCAUGGUUCCUUGUCGGAUUCAUUAACCACUGCACCACGACGGGAACUCCAACCUAUAUUAUUUCCUUUAAUAGCACCAUGUCCAUCUCCUCCAUAGCAUGUUCACACAUUCGUUGAUUAUUUAUUUGAUUAAUGUCUGCCUCUCCUGUGAGGGUAGGGAUGGCAUCUUUUACUUCCCCUUUCAUUAUUCAUUCCUUUAGAGCCUGGAACUGUAUCUGGCAUAGUGUAGACCCUCCAUAACUGGUUUGUUGAAUAAAUGCAUGAAUAACAGUGGGGAGUUUAACUUC
rnacentral:lncRNA from 1 species